rnacentral:lncRNA from 1 species
AGUGAUCUAGAUUUGAGAAUCAAAGAUGUAAGGUAUGAAUUUCAUAAAUCAUGGGUUUAUGGGUUAGUUUGAGUCAGGUCUAUUUAACUGGGUUAAACCUAGGGUUAGAAAUCAUUGAUAAUGGACUAUGUUAGUAAUUGAUAAAAUCUAAUUAAUAGUUAAUUCAGAUUGGGUCAAUUCUUUUCUUAAUCAAUUCUUAAUAGUUGUAGUUGGUCAAGUUUAUAUUUAUUAUUAGACUAAGAUGGACC